rnacentral:rRNA from 1 species
CCCUUAGACGUUCUGGGCCGCACGCGCGCUACACUGACCAGUGCAACAAGCAUCCGUCCUUGGCCGACAGGCUCGGGCAAUCUUUGAACGCUGGUCGUGAUGGGGAUAGAUCUUUGGAAUUAUUGAUCUUGAACGAGGAAUGCCUAGUAAUCGUAGGUCAUCAGCCUGCGAUGAUUACGUCCCUGCCCUUUGUACACACCGCCCGUCGCUCCUACCGAUUUCGAGUGGUUCGGUGAACCUUUCGGACCGGCAAUGCCUCGUGUUGCGCCGGAAAGUCAAGUAAACCAUAUCACUUAGAGGAAGGAGAAGUCGUAACA